rnacentral:rRNA from 1 species
GACGAACGCUGGCGGCGUGCCUAAUACAUGCAAGUAGAACGCUGAAGGAGGAGCUUGCUCUUCUGGAUGAGUUCGGACGGGGGAGGAACGCGUAGGGAAACCGCCUGGGAGCGGGGGGUAAACAUUUGGAACGGUAGCUAAUAACGGCAAAGAGGAGAAUGUGCAUGAAAAUUACUUAAAAAGGUGAAUUGGAUCACUAACAAGAGGACCUUGGUUGGAUUAGCUAGUUGGGGGGGUAACGGCCUACCAAGGCGACGAUACAUAGCCGACCUGAGAGGGUGAUCGGCCACACUGGGACUGAGACACGGCCCAGACUCCUACGGGAGGCAGCAGUAGGGAAUCUUCGGCAAUGGACGGAAGUCUGACCGAGCAACGCCGCGUGAGACAAGAAGGUUUUCGGAUCGUAAAGCUCUGUUGUAAGAGAAGAACGAGUGUGAGAGUGGAAAGUUCACACUGUGACGGUAUCUUACCAGAAAGGGACGGCUAACUACGUG